GUGCACGCUGGCGGUAGGCCUAACCCAUGCCAGUCGCACGGCAGCACAGUAAGCGCUUGCUCUUACGGGUGGCGAGUGGCGGACGGGUGAGGAAUACAUCGGAAUCUACUUUUUCGUGGGGGAUCACGUAGGGAAACUUACGCUAAUACCGCAUACGACCUACGGGUGAAAGCAGGGGAUCUUCGGCCCUUGCGCGAUUGAAUGAGCCGAUGUCGGAUUAGCUAGUUGGCGGGGUAAAGGCCCACCAAGGCGACGAUCCGUAGCUGGUCUGAGAGGAUGAUCAGCCACACUGGAACUGAGACACGGUCCAGACUCCUACGGGAGGCAGCAGUGGGGAAUAUUGGACAAUGGGCGCAAGCCUGAUCCAGCCAUACCGCGUGGGUGAAGAAGGCCUUCGGGUUGUAAAGCCCUUUUGUUGGGAAAGAAAAGCAGCAGGUUAAUACCCCGCUGUUCUGACGGUACCCAAAGAAUAAGCACCGGCUAACUUCGUG
rnacentral:rRNA from 1 species